rnacentral:rRNA from 1 species
CCUACGGGGGGCAGCAGUGAGGAAUAUUGGUCAAUGGACGAGAGUCUGAACCAGCCAAGUAGCGUGAAGGAUGACUGCCCUAUGGGUUGUAAACUUCUUUUAUAAAGGAAUAAAACGAGGCACGUGUGCCUUUUUGCAUGUACUUUAUGAAUAAGGAUCGGCUAACUCCGUGCCAGCAGCCGCGGUAAUACGGAGGAUCCGAGCGUUAUCCGGAUUUAUUGGGUUUAAAGGGAGCGUAGAUGGGUUGUUAAGUCAGUUGUGAAAGUUUGCGGCUCAAACGUAAAAUUGCAAUUGAUACUGGCAGUCGUGAGUACAGUUGAGGUAGGCGGAAUUCGUGGUGUAGCGGUGAAAUGCUUAGAUAUCACGAAGAACCCCGAUUGCGAAGGCAGCUUACUAAACUGUGACUGACAUUGAUGCUCGAAAGUGUGGGUAUCAAACAGGAUUAGAUACCCCUGUAGUC